GCGUCGCGAAUACAUGUAGUCGAACGGGCAAGUAGCAAUAUUUGUUAGUGGCGAACGGGUGAGUAGCGCGUGGGUGACCUGCCCCGAAGCUGGGGAUAACAGCUCGAAAGGGCUGCUAAUACCCGAUGUGGACAAGCCAGUUAGAGAAGCUUGUCUAAAGGAGCAAUCCACUUUGGGAGGGACCUGCGACCCAUCAGCUAGUUGGUAAGGUAACGGCCUACCAAGGCGACGACGGGUAGGGGGCCUGAGAGGGUGGCCCCCCACACUGGCACUGAAACACGGGCCAGACACCUACGGGUGGCAGCAGUAGGGAAUAUUGCACAAUGGGCGCAAGCCUGAUGCAGCAACGCCGCGUGCGCGAUGAAGGCCUUCGGGUCGUAAAGCGCUUUUCUGGGAGACGAGGAAGGACGGUAUCCCAGGAAUAAGUCUCGGCUAACUACGUGCCAGCAGCCGCGGUAAAACGUAGGAGACAAGCGUUAUCCGAAUUUACUGGGCGUAAAGCGCGUGCAGGUGGUUAGGUAAGUUGAAUGUGAAAUCUCCUGGCUCAACUGGGAGAGGCUGUUCAAGACUGCCUGGCUAGAGGGCGGUAGAGGGAGGUGGAAUUCCCGGUGUAGUGGUGAAAUGCGUAGAUAUCGGGAGGAACACCUGUGGCGAAAGCGGCCUCCUGGACCGUACCUGACGCUCAGACGCGAAAGCUAGGGGAGUGAACGGGAUUAGAAACCCCGGUAAUCCUAGCCGUAAACGAUGUGGACUGGGUGUCGGUGGGGUAAAAGCCAUCGGUGCCGAAGCCAACGCGAUAAGUCCACCGCCUGGGGACUACGGCCGCAAGGUUA
rnacentral:rRNA from 1 species